rnacentral:misc_RNA from 1 species
AUGAUUGGCCUCAGGGCCUUAUCGAUUAUCAAUCCCAACACCUCUGUGAACCGUUUUCGGCCCUCGGGCUGAUCUUUUUACAGUACAAACAUUGUGUAAUGAGCGUCUUGUUAUCUUAACAAAACAAACCUUUCAACAACGGAUCUCUUGGCUCUCGCAUCGAUGAAGAACGCAGCGAAAUGCGAUAAGUAAUGUGAAUUGCAGAAUUCAGUGAAUCAUCGAAUCUUUGAACGCACCUUGCGCCUUUUGGUAUUCCAAAAGGCAUGCCUGUUUGAGUGUCAUGAAAUAUCAAUCCCCUCGGGUUUCUGAUCUGGGGUGGACUUGGACUUGGGUGUCUGCCGGUCACUCGGCUGGCUCACCUCAAAAGACUUAGUGGGAUUAGCAUCCACGGCCCGACGUAAUAAGUUUCGUCUGGCCAGGUGCAAGGCCUGCUCAUAACCCCUUGCCCACCUGGGCGUUAACACUUUUGGACUCUGACCUCGAAUCAGGUAGGGCUACCCGCUGAACUUAAGCAUAUCAAUAAGCGGAGGAAUCGUACGCUUGGUCAUUUAGAGGAAGUAAAAGUCGUAACAAGGUUUCCGUAGGUGAACCUGCGGAAGGAUCAUUAUCAAAAGUCAGUCGGGAGCCCCAGUGGCUGCCGUCUACACCCAAGUCUUUUGUGUACUCAUUGUCUCCUCGGCGGCGUAAGUCGCCGAAUGGACAAACUAAAACCUUUUUGUAAUUGCAAUCAGCGUCAUUAAAUAUAAUAAUAUUUA